UGCGAAGAUAUCGAUAGGUGAUACCCCAUAGAAGCGGUGAGGAGGAAAGAAGUUUGAACAGAGUGGCAAGGCCAAAAUUUAAGGGGAAAAGGUUAGCGAAGAGUGGCGCCACCUGGUCCUGGAGAGUGAGAGUUCCGCGCGCUCUCCGGAGCCGUUAUAAGAGAAGAUUUCCGAUCUCAUCCCAUAACGGAGUCCCGAAGCCAACUCACCCAUACCCCAAAGAAAAGAGAGCCGCCAGCAGCCCGAAUCAGGCCAUGCCCUUGAACCUAGUUCAAGGGCGAUAGAAGAGAGAGCGAUGGGGAUCAGCGGCCCGGGAGCAUUAAACAGAGCAGCUAAGCCAAGAGGGGGUUCAGAGAAAGAAAUUCCCGCAACGGAGGAGCAUGCGCACCGGGCAUAGUGAUCUAGUGAUUUUUUUUGUUCUGAAAGAAAAAGGGAUCCAGAUCAGUGAGAGACCAGGAACCAGGACUAGCGGGACGGGAAAGAGACCCAAGAAGCAUAAGAGGAAUAGGUCACAGCUCCGCCAUCCUGGCUUGCUUUUUGCUGG